CAUUUACAAAAACACAACUGGAAUUAAAUAAAGUAUACUUAUAUGCAUGAUCAUAAACAUCCUCCAUUGCUAGUUCUCAUCAAGCUGUAAAUUUUUACCUCCUGUUUUCAAGUUAGCCCUCCCUGUUUUGAACAGUCGAUAAGUUGGCUAAGAAGGGUUUGGUCAUGUUUCUGGAUGGAAUAUAUUCGAAAAACAGAUGUUUGGUUUCAGCAUUUGUUACAUGUUGGCAAUGUGCCCAUUCACAAUCAUAUGA